AUUGAACGCUGGCGGCAGGCCUAACACAUGCAAGUCGAACGAGUGGCGGACGGGUGGCUAAGGUCUGAGCAACUGCCUGAUGGACGAGGAUAACGACUGUAACCCGUAGCUACUAGCGCCUACAAUACUCUCUGCCCAGGUGGCAUUAGCUUGUUGGUGGGGUAACGGCUGACAAAGGCGACGAUCCCUAGCGGGUCUGAGAGGAUUACCAGACACACUGGAACUGAGACACGGUCCAGACUCCGACGGGAGGCAGCAGUGGGGAAUAUUGGACAAUGGGCGAAAGCCUGAUGGAGCAAUGCCGCGUGUAUGAAGAAGGUCUUCGGGUUGUAAAGUACUUUCAGCGGGGAGGCGUUACCCGAAGAAGAAGCAACGGCUAACUCCGUGCCAGCAGCCGCGGUAAUAC
rnacentral:rRNA from 1 species